GACGAACGCUGGCGGCGUGCUUAACACAUGCAAGUCGAACGGUAAGGCCCUUCGGGGUACACGAGUGGCGAACGGGUGAGUAACACGUGGGUGAUCUGCCCUGCACUUCGGGAUAAGCCUGGGAAACUGGGUCUAAUACCGGAUAGGACCACUGCCUGCAUGGGUGGUGGUGGAAAGCUUUUGCGGUGUGGGAUGGGCCCGCGGCCUAUCAGCUUGUUGGGGGGGUGAUGGCCUACCAAGGCGACGACGGGUAGCCGGCCUGAGAGGGUGACCGGCCACACUGGGACUGGGAUACGGCCCAGACUCCUACGGGAGGCAGCAGUGGGGAAUAUUGCACAAUGGGCGCAAGCCUGAUGCAGCGACGCCGCGUGAGGGAUGACGGCCUUCGGGUUGUAAACCUCUUUCAGCACCGACGAAGCGCAAGUGACGGUAGGUGCAGAAGAAGGACCGGCUAACUACGUGCCAGCCGCCGCCGUAA
rnacentral:rRNA from 1 species